CGAGUAACAGUUAAAUCAACAUGACUAAUAGAUGAUAAAAACUUUAACGGAACCGAGUUAGCAAUACAGACGCCCUCGCUACGCAAUGAGCCAUCUUAUUAGCUUCCUGUUUUAUCCAACUAAAAGACAAGUUGGUAAAUUUGGAUUAAAGAAACAGAUAAUCCUAGACCGACAAGUUGGUAAAUUCAAAUCAUAUUUU
rnacentral:lncRNA from 1 species